UCGAAGCUUAACGAUGAAAUAUCUCAGCCGUCGAUGUGACUCGGAGGUCGUCUUCCUGCCUAUAAAUAAGUGGGACUCGGUGUCAGCUUCCCCAGCGUUGCCCGUUCGCCGAUACACAUACCGCCGUCGUCUCUUCUACUCGGCCAUCUCUGGUUAAAUCCUCUCUCUAAUAUUCCUCGUGUCUCCCCCUCCAAUCUUCCUUCUAAAUCUGCAGAUGGAGAGAAGCAGAACUGGGGUUUCUUUUACGGCGACAUCGUCGUCUAUGAGAUCGUUCGAAGAGUCACCAGUUACGACGUCAACGAGUUGGUUGUCGAAAGCCUCGCUAGCAAAUUAGACAAGUGUGAUGAUCCUACAGACCUGUAAUGAUUCUGCGGACAUGAUAGCAGACACAAUGCUGAAGAGCAUCUAAGGGACUGAGUUUUCAUCAUCGAUUUUUUUUCUUCUGGAUCAUUCUUUUACUUUCUUCCAUGGACUGGUUUCGUACUGAUCAACUAUUAGCCAUUUGACUUUUACCUAAUUGAACAUUACCGAUUAAGUAGAGGGUAAAUUAUGGUAAAUGAUCAUCUAACGAAUACACUGAUAUCAAGAGGUAAUUAUGAUCAAUAUUUAUUAGUCUCAUUUUUUUUUGAUAAUGGGCACAAGUAUUGUAGUGUUUGAUGGCUCCUGUUGUUGAUGAUAGAAUUACGUUUUGAGUGACCAGCCAUUAGUUUUUUAGUUGUUUACAUUUUGAUGUUCUAACAUGAAUAACAUUGGAGGAAAGCAGCUAGUGAAAUGUGACAUCGCCUUUCGCGAUUGUUUUUUUUGUGUGUUUGUGUAAUUUAAGUGCCUUUGGGCUUCAUCACGUUAAUCAAGACCUUUAUAUUGCUCGUCUAUUAAGAGGUCUGUUGUGUUUGAAGCGAGAAAAAAAUGGCUGCCUCGCUAUCCGCUGCAAACUCUUCUGUUUUGCAUUUGGACGUUGGUGAGCUACAUUAUUGAAUGAUCGUAUUUGCUUUGCCCCUCGAUGCAAA